CCCUAGUAACUGCGAGUGAAGCGGGAAAAGCUCAAAUUUAAAAUCUGGCAGUUUCACUGUCCGAGUUGUAAUCUAGAGAAGUGUUAUCCGCGCUGGACCGUGUACAAGUCUCCUGGAAUGGAGCGUCAUAGAGGGUGAGAAUCCCGUCUUUGACACGGACUGCCAGGGCUUUGUGAUGCGCUCUCAAAGAGUCGAGUUGUUUGGGAAUGCAGCUCAAAAUGGGUGGUAAAUUCCAUCUAAAGCUAAAUAUUGGCGAGAGACNGAUAGCGAACAAGUACCGUGAGGGAAAGAUGAAAAGAACUUUGGAAAGAGAGUUAAACAGUACGUGAAAUUGCUGAAAGGGAAACGCUUGAAGUCAGUCGCGUUGGCCGGGAAUCAACCUUGCUUUUGCUGGGCGUAUUUUCUAGUCGACGGGUCAACAUCAGUUUUGACCGUUGGAUAAAGGCAUGGGGAAUGUGGCAUCUCGGAUGUGUUAAUAGCCCUGUGUCGCAUACAACGGUUGGGACUGAGGAACUCAGCGCGCCCGCAAGGCCGGGUCUUUGACCACGUUCGCGCUUAGGAUGUUGGCAUAAUGGCUUUAAUCGACCCGUCUUGAAACACGGACCAAGGAGUCUAACAUGCCUGCGAGUGUUUGGGUGGAAAACCCGAGCGCGUAAUGAAAGUGAAAGUUGAGAUCCCUGUCGUGGGGAGCAUCGACGCCCGGACCAGACCUUCUGUGACGGAUCCGCGGUAGAGCAUGUAUGUUGGGACCC
rnacentral:rRNA from 1 species